GACGAACGCUGGCGGCGUGCUUAACACAUGCAAGUCGAACGGAAAGGCCCUGCUUUUGUGGGGUGCUCGAGUGGCGAACGGGUGAGUAACACGUGAGUAACCUGCCCUUGACUUUGGGAUAACUUCAGGAAACUGGGGCUAAUACCGGAUAGGAGCUCCUGCUGCAUGGUGGGGGUUGGAAAGUUUCGGCGGUUGGGGAUGGACUCGCGGCUUAUCAGCUUGUUGGUGGGGUAGUGGCUUACAAAGGCUUUGACGGGUAGCCGGCCUGAGAGGGUGACCGGCCACAUGGGUACUGAGAGACGGCCCAGACUCCUACGGGAGGCAGCAGGGGGGAAUAUUGCACAAUGGGCGGAAGCCUGAUGCAGCAACGCCGCGUGCGGGAUGACGGCCUUCGGGUUGUAAACCGCUUUCGCCUGUGACGAAGCGUGAUUGACGGUAAUGGGUAAAGAAGCACCGGCUAACUACGUG
rnacentral:rRNA from 1 species